rnacentral:rRNA from 1 species
UACGUAGGGCGCAAGCGUUGUCCGGAAUUAUUGGGCGUAAAGAGCUCGUAGGUGGCUUGUUGCGUCUGCCGUGAAAGCCCGUGGCUUAACUGCGGGUCUGCGGUGGAUACGGGCAGGCUAGAGGCUGGUAGGGGCAAGCGGAAUUCCUGGUGUAGCGGUGAAAUGCGCAGGAUAUCAGGAGGAACACCGGUGGCGAAGGCGGCUUGCUGGGCCGAUACUGACGCUGAGGAGCGAAAGCGUGGGGAGCGAACAGG